rnacentral:rRNA from 1 species
CCUACGGGGGGCUGCAGUGGGGAAUAUUGGACAAUGGGGGCAACCCUGAUCCAGCCAUGCCGCGUGUGUGAAGAAGGCCCUCGGGUUGUAAAGCACUUUCAGUGAGGAAGAACGCCUGGUGGUUAAUACCCAUCAGGAAAGACAUCACUCACAGAAGAAGCACCGGCUAACUCCGUGCCAGCAGCCGCGGUAAUACGGAGGGUGCGAGCGUUAAUCGGAAUUACUGGGCGUAAAGCGCGCGUAGGUGGCUUGAUAAGCCGGUUGUGAAAGCCCCGGGCUCAACCUGGGAACGGCAUCCGGAACUGUCAAGCUAGAGUGCAGGAGAGGAAGGUAGAAUUCCCGGUGUAGCGGUGAAAUGCGUAGAGAUCGGGAGGAAUACCAGUGGCGAAGGCGGCCUUCUGGACCGACACUGACACUGAGGUGCGAAAGCGUGGGUAGCAAACAGGAUUAGAUACCCGGGUAGUC